rnacentral:tRNA from 1 species
GGAUAUAUGACUGAGUCUGGUUGAAAGUGUAACUCUUGAGUAGUUAUAUAUAGUUUAUCUAUAUCGUAAGUUCGAAUCUUACUGUAUCCG